rnacentral:rRNA from 1 species
GACGAACGCUGGCGGCGUGCUUAAUACAUGCAAGUCGAACGGAAAGGCCCUGCUCUUGUGGGGUUCUCGAGUGGCGAAAGGGUGAGUAUCACGUGAGUAAACUGCCCUUGACUUUGGGGUAACUUCAGGAAACUGGGGCGAAUAUCGGAUAUGAGCUCCUGCUGCAUGGUGGGGGUUGGAAAGUUUCGGCGGUUGGGGAUGGACUCGCGGCUUAUCAGCGUGUUGGUGGGGUAGUGGCUUACCAAGGCUUUGACGGGUAGCCGGCCUGAGAGGGUGACCGGCCACAUUGGGACUGAGAUACGGCCCAUACUCCUACGGGAGGCAGCAGUGGGGAAUAUUGCACAAUGGGCGGAAGCCUGAUGCAGCAACGCCGCGUGCUGGAUGACUGCCUUCGGGUUGUAAACCGCUUUCGCCUGUGACGAAGCGUGAGUGACGGUAAUGGGUAAAGAAGCACCGGCUAACUACGUG